GGAUGUCAGACUGCUGAUCCAUCAGGGCCAUAGUUCCCUGCUGCCACGGACAUGGCCACUUGAGUUUGUGGUCGUUGGGGCCUGAAGUCAGGUGGAAGUAGGUGGCCAUGUACCCUGGACGGUCGCUUCUUCCGUUUAGAUAUUGAGAACAUCAUCAGCUGCCCCGGAGUUAUGGAGGAAGAACUGCAGACACUGGGCUCCAGGUUUGGGAUAAAGCCAACGACUCUCCAGGAAUGCACGGUCGCCGGGUUCCGCAGAGGCCGUGCUGAAGUGCAUGAAGUGGCCUUUUCCUGAGGGAGGAGACAGCAGUGGCACGUUCAACACCAUCUGGCCUGCCCUGCUGGGGAGCAGGGGCGUAGGACUGGGGGAAAAGGGGACUGAGUAUACAUGGCCCUCAUGUGAGGAGGGCCCACAAAGAUACUAGAAUGAAUAGCCGUGGAUGUGGGGAGGGGCCCAUGGAGAAUGCCUUUGUACAGGGUCCAGAAUUUUGUGCUACGCCCCUGCUGGCGAGCAAGCUGACAGCGAUGCAGGUAGACACUUCCCUGGUGUCCUGGAUUGUGAACUGUCUGACUGGUCGGCAGUUCCCCAGUAUAUUAGACUGCAGGUCUGUGUGUCUGACACUGGUGAGCAACACAGGGGCCCCACAGGGGAUGGUCCUGUCACCCUCUCUGUUCACCCUCUACACCUCAGACUUCAGAUACAACUCCAAGUCCUACCACCUGCAGAAGUUCUCUGACAACUCCGCAAUUGGACUGCAUCAGCGGAGGAAAGGAGGCUGAGUAUAGGAGCUGCUAUAGGACCUGCAGCUUGACACUGGUAAGACAAAGAAGUUGGUGGUGGACUUUAGCAGGCAGAAAACACCCCCUACAGGUAUUUCUAUCCAGGGGGUGGACGUGGAAACUGUGCCGGAUUACAAGUACCUGGGAGUACUAG